rnacentral:rRNA from 1 species
AUUGAACGCUGGCGGCAGGCCUAACACAUGCAAGUCGAGCGGAUGAGAGGAGCUUGCUCCUUGAUUUAGCGGCGGACGGGUGAGUAAUGCCUAGGAAUCUGCCUGGUAGUGGGGGAUAACGUUCCGAAAGGAACGCUAAUACCGCAUACGUCCUACGGGGGAAAGCAGGGGACCUUCGGGCCUUGCGCUAUCAGAUGAGCCUAGGUCGGAUUAGCUAGUUGGUGAGGUAAUGGCUCACCAAGGCGACGAUCCGUAACUGGUCUGAGAGGAUGAUCAGUCACACUGGAACUGAGACACGGUCCAGACUCCUACGGGAGGCAGCAGUGGGGAAUAUUGGACAAUGGGCGAAAGCCUGAUCCAGCCAUGCCGCGUGUGUGAAGAAGGUCUUCGGAUUGUAAAGCACUUUAAGUUGGGAGGAAGGGCAGUAAGCUAAUACCUUGCUGUUUUGACGUUACCGACAGAAUAAGCACCGGCUAACUUCGUG